rnacentral:rRNA from 1 species
GGGAUAACACCUGGAAACAGGUGCUAAUACCGCAUAAGCGCACAGGGCCGCAUGGCCCGGUGUGAAAAACUCCGGUGGUGUAAGAUGGACCCGCGUCUGAUUAGCUUGUUGGCGGGGUAGGGGCCCACCAAGGCGACGAUCAGUAGCCGGCCUGAGAGGGUGGACGGCCACAUUGGGACUGAGACACGGCCCAAACUCCUACGGGAGGCAGCAGUGGGGGAUAUUGGACAAUGGGGGAAACCCUGAUCCAGCGACGCCGCGUGAGUGAAGAAGUAUUUCGGUAUGUAAAGCUCUGUCAGCAGGGAAGAAAGAAAUGACGGUACCUGACCAAGAAGCCCCGGCUAACUACGUGCCAGCAGCCGCGGUAAUACGUAGGGGGCAAGCGUCAUCCGGAAUUACUGGGUGUAAAGGGAGCGUAGACGGUGAUGCAAGUCUGGAGUGAAAGGCGGGGGCCCAACCCCCGGACUGCUCUGGAAACUGUGUAACUUGAGUGCAGGAGAGGUAAGCGGAAUUCCUAGUGUAGCGGUGAAAUGCGUAGAUAUUAGGAGGAACACCAGUGGCGAAGGCGGCUUACUGGACUGUAACUGACGUUGAGGCUCGAAAGCGUGGGGAGCAAACAGGAUUAGAUACCCUGGUAGUCCACGCCGUAAACGAUGAUUACUAGGUGUCGGUGGGUAUGGACCCACCGGUGCCGCAG